rnacentral:rRNA from 1 species
GAUGAACGCUAGCUACAGGCUUAACACAUGCAAGUCGAGGGGUAACGAGAGGAAAGCUUGCUUUCCUUGUCGACGACCGGCGCACGGGUGAGUAACGCGUAUCCAACCUGCCCCCAACUAGGGAAUAACCUUGCGAAAGUAAGACUAAUACCCUAUAAUUUCCUCAGAUGUCAUCUGACGAGGAAUAAAGAUUUAUCGGUUGUGGAUGGGGAUGCGUCUGAUUAGCUUGUUGGCGGGGUAACGGCCCACCAAGGCAACGAUCAGUAGGGGUUCUGAGAGGAAGGUACCCCACAUUGGAACUGAGACACGGUCCAAACUCCUACGGGAGGCAGCAGUGAGGAAGAUUGGUCAAUGGGCGGAAGCCUGAACCAGCCAAGUAGCGUGCAGUAUGACGGCCCUAUGGGUUGUAAACUGCUUUUAUACAGGAAUAAAGUUAGCCACGUGUGGUUAUUUGUAGGUACUGUAUGAAUAAGGACCGGCUAAUUCCGUGCCAGCCGCCGCAGUAA